UACGUAGGGUGCAAGCGUUAAUCGGAAUUACUGGGCGUAAAGCGUGCGCAGGCGGUUUUGUAAGUCUGAUGUGAAAUCCCCGGGCUCAACCUGGGAAUUGCAUUGGAGACUGCAAGGCUAGAAUCUGGCAGAGGGGGGUAGAAUUCCACGUGUAGCAGUGAAAUGCGUAGAAAUGUGGAGGAACACCGAUGGCGAAGGCAGCCCCCUGGGUCAAGAUUGACGCUCAUGCACGAAAGCGUGGGGAGCAAACAGG
rnacentral:rRNA from 1 species